UUGCGUUGUCGUGAAGCAGCAGUGGCCUA
rnacentral:sRNA from 1 species